UGUCCAGUAGCACCUUAGAGACCAACUAAGUUUGUUCUGGGUAAAAGCUUUCAUGUGCAUGCACACUUCUUCAGAUACACUUCUUCAGAAGUGUGCAUGCACACGAAAGCUUAUACCUAGAACAAACUUAGUUGGUCUCUAAGGUGCUACUGGACA